rnacentral:lncRNA from 1 species
CGAGUUGUUGUCAUGGGGAAGGCAGAGCACAUGGAGUGAAGAAGUACCCUGGUACAUGCGCAGAUUAUUUGUUUACUACUUAGAACACAGAAUGUCAGCGCCAUCUUGUAAUGGAGAAUGUGAGGGCUGCUCCCCACAGAACCCUGCCAUGCUGGUUCAACAAACAGAAAGAUACUUAAAAGUGCUUGAAGUGGGUCUUCUCAUUCGCCAUAUGCUUUCAUUUUCCUCACCGCAAAGGCAGUUAUGACCGGGAUCAUGAAUCUUGUGCUUGAAACUUGAUGCUAUUUCUGAUGCAUUAUUGUGAAGCUCAAAACUCAACCUAUGAGCAUGAGGACUACUCUUUCUGCACUUGUAAGGACAAACUUUGAGAAUGUUCUUAAGGACUGUGCUGAUUUAGUACAUUUCCACAUACAGGUUCUUCUGAAGACCCAGGAUUUCACUAGCCCUGGAUAAUUGAUUAGGUUUCCAAAACCAAAAAUGAUGGCUUUAUUGAAUCAUUAGAAAGCUGUUGAUUAUGGCCAAGGUGGGCAUGCCACCACCAUACUCUUAGGCUGGCACGUCAACUUAUGCUGCCAUGAAAGCAACCAAUUCUACAUGAUAUAUUUACAAAUAUGUCCAGCACAGAAAGAUGAACAAAUAUUGAGGAAGAGGCUACAGACAAGAACCAGAGGAUCAGUGAAUUUGCUGUGGGAUUUUGUCUUCUUUUAUGUCAGAAGCUACACACCUAAAAGACCACCAACAUGACUGCCUAAACAUGAGUUGAUCAAAGACAGCAAUGGACAUGAUAAUGUGGAUAGAUCAAAGCACACAAGGCUCCAACACUACACAAAGAAGUACAAGAAGCUAAGGACUGAUAAGAGUGGGUGCAAUAGCAUUCUCCGGAGAGGAGCACACCAAAUAGU